rnacentral:rRNA from 1 species
GAAUUCGCCCUUAGAGUUUGAUCCUGGCUCAGGACGAACGCUGGCGGCGCGCCUAACACAUGCAAGUCGAACGGAGCUAUGUUGAAAGCUUGCUGGAUAUAUAGCUUAGUGGCGGACGGGUGAGUAACACGUGAGCAACCUGCCUUUCAGAGUGGAAUAACGUUUGGAAACGAACGCUAAUACCGCAUAAUGUCAGAGGAUGGCAUCAUUCUUUGACCAAAGAUUUAUCGCUGAAAGAUGGGCUCGCGGCCGAUUAGGUAGUUGGUGAGAUAAUAGCCCACCAAGCCGACGAUCGGUAGCCGGACUGAGAGGUUGAACGGCCACAUUGGGACUGAGACACGGCCCAGACUCCUACGGGAGGCAGCAGUGGGGGAUAUUGCACAAUGGGGGAAACCCUGAUGCAGCGACGCCGCGUGAGGGAAGACGGCCUUCGGGUUGUAAACCUCUGUCUUCGGGGACGAAUAAAUGACGGUACCCGAGGAGGAAGCCACGGCUAACUACGUGCCAGCAGCCGCGGUAAUACGUAGGUGGCAAGCGUUGUCCGGAAUUACUGGGUGUAAAGGGAGCGUAGGCGGGGAGGCAAGUUGAAUGUCUAAACUAUCGGCUCAACUGAUAGUCGCGUUCAAAACUGCCACUCUUGAGUGCAGUAGAGGUAGGCGGAAUUCCUAGUGUAGCGGUGAAAUGCGUAGAUAUUAGGAGGAACACCAGUGGCGAAGGCGGCCUACUGGGCUGUAACUGACGCUGAGGCUCGAAAGCGUGGGUAGCAAACAGGAUUAGAUACCCUGGUAGUCCACGCCGUAAACGAUGAUUUACUAGGUGUGGGGGGACUGACCCCUUCCGUGCCGGAGUUAACACAAUAAGUAAUCCACCUGGGGAGUACGGCCGCAAGGCUGAAACUCAAAGGAAUUGACGGGGGCCCGCACAAGCAGUGGAGUAUGUGGUUUAAUUCGAAGCAACGCGAAGAACCUUACCAGGUCUUGACAUCGAGUGACGAACUUAGAGAUAAGUUCUUCCUUCGGGACACGAAGACAGGUGGUGCAUGGUUGUCGUCAGCUCGUGUCGUGAGAUGUUGGGUUAAGUCCCGCAACGAGCGCAACCCUUAUCAUUAGUUGCUACGCAAGAGCACUCUAAUGAGACUGCCGUUGAUAAAACGGAGGAAGGUGGGGAUGACGUCAAAUCAUCAUGCCCCCUAUGAGCAGGGCUACACACGUGCUACAAUGGCGUAAACAAAGGGAGGCAGAACCGCGAGGUCGAGCAAAUCCCAAAAAUAACGUCUCAGUUCGGAUUGUAGUCUGCAACUCGACUACAUGAAGCUGGAAUCGCUAGUAAUCGCGAAUCAGAAUGUCGCGGUGAAUACGUUCCCGGGUCUUGUACACACCGCCCGUCA